rnacentral:rRNA from 1 species
CACGUAGGGGGCAAGCGUUGUCCGGAUUUAUUGGGCGUAAAGAGCUCGUAGGUGGUUCGGUAAGUCGGGUGUUAAACCCCCAGGCUCAACCUGGGGACGCCACUCGAUACUGCUGUGACUAGAGUCCGGUAGGGGAGCGUGGAAUUCCUGGUGUAGCGGUGAAAUGCGCAGAUAUCAGGAGGAACACCGGUGGCGAAGGCGGGUCUCUGGGCCGAUACUGACGCUGAGGAGCGAAAGCGUGGGUAGCGAACAGG